AGACUGUUGGUGGUGGGACACUCCCAAAGAAGAGCCUUGAAGUGUUCCCAAGCAUCAUAGAGGUUUUCAUCAGGCUUCUGUUUGAAGCUCACUAUCUCACUACAAAGUCU
rfam:Capsicum annuum cultivar Zunla-1 chromosome 9, whole genome shotgun sequence